rnacentral:rRNA from 1 species
CCUACGGGAGGCUGCAGUCGAGAAUCAUUCACAAUGGGGGAAACCCUGAUGGUGCGACGCCGCGUGGGGGAAUGAAGGUCUUCGGAUUGUAAACCCCUGUCAUGUGGGAGCAAAUUAAAAAGAUAGUACCACAAGAGGAAGAGACGGCUAACUCUGUGCCAGCAGCCGCGGUAAUACAGAGGUCUCAAGCGUUGUUCGGAAACACUGGGCGUAAAGCGUGCGUAGGCUGUUUCGUAAGUCGUGUGUGAAAGGCGCGGGCUCAACCCGCGGACGGCAUAUGAUACUGCGAGACUAGAGUAAGGGAGGGGGAACCGGAAUUCUCGGUGUAGCAGUGAAAUGCGUAGAUAUCGAGAGGAACACUCGUGGCGAAGGCGGGUUCCUGGACAUUAACUGACGCUGAGGCACGAAGGCCAGGGGAGCGAAAGGGAUUAGAUACCCUAGUAGUC